rnacentral:rRNA from 1 species
UGGGGAAUAUUGCACAAUGGGCGAAAGCCUGAUGCAGCGACGCCGCGUGAGGGAUGACGGCCUUCGGGUUGUAAACCUCUUUCAGCAGGGACGAAGCGCAAGUGACGGUACCUGCAGAAGAAGCACCGGCUAACUACGUGCCAGCAGCCGCGGUAAUACGUAGGGUGCAAGCGUUGUCCGGAAUUACUGGGCGUAAAGAGUUCGUAGGCGGUUUGUCGCGUCGUUUGUGAAAACCAGCAGCUCAACUGCUGGCUUGCAGGCGAUACGGGCAGACUUGAGUACUGCAGGGGAGACUGGAAUUCCUGGUGUAGCGGUGAAAUGCGCAGAUAUCAGGAGGAACACCGGUGGCGAAGGCGGGUCUCUGGGUAGUAACUGACGCUGAGGAACGAAAGCGUGGGUAGCGAACAGG